rnacentral:rRNA from 1 species
AUUGAACGCUGGCGGCAUGCUUUACACAUGCAAGUCGAACGGCAGCACGGGAGCUUGCUCCUGGUGGCGAGUGGCGAACGGGUGAGUAAUGCAUCGGAACGUACCCAGUAGUGGGGGAUAGCCCGGCGAAAGCCGGAUUAAUACCGCAUAUUUCCUGAGGGAGAAAGCGGGGGGACCUUCGGGCCUCGCGCUACUGGAGCGGCUGAUGUCGGAUUAGCUAGUUGGUGAGGUAAAGGCUCACCAAGGCGACGAUCCGUAGCUGGUCUGAGAGGAUGAUCAGCCACACUGGGACUGAGACACGGCCCAGACUCCUACGGGAGGCAGCAGUGGGGAAUUUUGGACAAUGGGGGCAACCCUGAUCCAGCCAUGCCGCGUGAGUGAAGAAGGCCUC